rnacentral:rRNA from 1 species
CGCCAGACUCCUACGGGAGGCAGCAGUGGGGAAUAUUGCACAAUGGGGGAAACCCUGAUGCAGCGACGCCGCGUGAAGGAAGAAGUAUUUCGGUAUGUAAACUUCUAUCAGCAGGGAAGAAAAUGACGGUACCUGAAGAAGAAGCCCCGGCUAACUACGUGCCAGCAGCCGCGGUAAUACGUAGGGGGCAAGCGUUAUCCGGAUUUACUGGGUGUAAAGGGGGCGCAGACGGCGAUGCAAGCCAGGAGUGAAAGCCCGGGGCCCAACCCCGGGACUGCUCUUGGAACUGCGUGGCUGGAGUGCAGGAGGGGCAGGCGGAAUUCCUGGUGUAGCGGUGAAAUGCGUAGAUAUCAGGAGGAACACCGGUGGCGAAGGCGGCCUGCUGGACUGCAACUGACGUUGAGGCCCGAAAGCGUGGGGAGCAAACAGGAUUAGAUACCCCCGUAGC